AAAAGUUACAAUUUAAGAUUUGGAGAUCUAAGAGGUUAAGGUUUAAAGCCAAAGAGAUUAAAUUAAAACCUGCAGGUUAAAGUAAAGAAUUCACAGCUAUCUUCUAAGAUACUAAUGGUGAUGGAGAAGAUAAUGAAGGGAUAGACAUAAGUAUAUUAUAACGACCAUGGA